rnacentral:lncRNA from 1 species
CUCCCCCGAAGGUCUGGCUCCCCUAGGGACCCAGCUCCCAUCCUAUCUGCAACAUGCCCAAGUACCCAGGUACCCAGCUACCAUGUGUUGACGCAACUCCUAGCUUGCCAACUUUGGGGACUAGGGAGUGCCCUGCGGCUCCCAAUGAAGCUGGAAUGCUCGGUUACAAUUACAAAAACUCACAAGUUCCCAACCCAGAAGUUACUUCUCGACCGCGAACUUGGGGGACUACUGUUUAC